rnacentral:tRNA from 1 species
GCCCCUGUAGCUCAGAGGAUAGAGCACCAGCCUCCGGAGCUGGGGGCGAGCGUUCGAGUCGCUCCAGGGGCGC